AGCAGCCGCGGUAAUUCCAGCUCCAAUAGCGUAUAUUAAAGUUGUUGCAGUUAAAAAGCUCGUAGUUGAAUUUCGGGGUCAGCAGGUUGGUCGUGCCAAUGGUAUGCACUGGCCUUGCUGAUUCCUCCCUCUUGAUGAGCCGUAAUGCCAUUAAUUUGGUGUUGCGGGGAAUCAGGACUGUUACUUUGAAAAAUUAGAGUGUUUAAAGCAGGCAAGCGCUUGAAUACAUUAGCAUGGAAUAAUGAAAUAGGACGUUCGAUCCUAUUUUGUUGGUUUCUAGGAUUGACGUAAUGAUUAAUAGGGAUAGUUGGGGGCAUUAGUAUUCAAUUGUCAGAGGUGAAAUUCUUGGAUUUAUUGAAGACUAACUACUGCGAAAGCAUUUGCCAAGGAUGUUUUCAUUAAUCAAGAACGAAAGUUAGGGGAUCGAAGACGAUCAGAUACCGUCGUAGUCUUAACCAUAAACUAUGCCGACUAGGGAUCGGAUGAUGUUAAUUUUUAAUGA
rnacentral:sRNA from 1 species